GGACAUCACUUUCCUGUGUUCACAUAUGAAUGCACAACAAGUGUAACUCCAAAUUAUGUUCAAAGAAUGGGAAGAUCUACAUCAUGUAUAUAGGCUAUUCCAAAAUACACUCUACUGUUAUGCAUAUCUAAAAAGAACAAAUUAAAAGAAAAAGAAACUGUCCCUACUUAUAACCAGCUUUAAAAAAAAAGCUUAUUGAAUAUGGCUAUUGGGGAAGAACAGAAUACGUACAACUGUGCAGUUUGUGUCUGAAGCUAAGUGUUGUUAAAAAAUAAGUCAAAAAUUUAAAGUUAAAAAGCAAAAUGGUUACGGCAGCUAACAUUAAUUUGGAUGACUUUCCCAUAGACUGUGGACAGUGUUGACAGUCUGCCCCUGUCCUGGGCCUUCGCUGCUUGGCACUGUCACUCACCCAGAGUGACUGCCAGGCCUGCAGGCUCUGUUCAUGGCAGGGUCCUCCCUCAGCAGGUGCACCACUUAAGACCCUUUGUGUUGUAUUUCUGCUGUACCUGUUCUGUGUUUAGAGAUGUUUAGACACAGAUCCUCCCCAGGUCUCCCAGUGGCCUCUAGAUUCAGCAUUGCUGUGCCCAAGAGGAGCGCAGGUGAGCCCCGCCUGCCACCUGGUGUGGACAGGGACAGCUCGCCCUGGGGUUGGUGCAAGGAAGCAGUCACUGAGACCUGGUCGGUCGGUCGGCUGGCUUCUUGGAAUGCAUGUGCUUCUUGGAAUGUAUGCACAUGGCUAAGUGACAGACUGUAUUUGCAUCUUCUGUCUGUUGUUUGUCCCUUAGGGUGACAAAAGCUUUUCUUUCUGGAACAGCCAAACUCUCCAUCUGGCCUGGUAGGCAGAGGAGUCUGCAGAGACUUGUUGUGCACAUGUGCGUGUUGGACCGAGAAGCACAGCUGGCAGAGGAAAACCCCUCAGAGCAGGCCACCCCCGCCACGGUGGCAGUGCCUUUGGGGCUGCCUCUGCAGACCUUGAGCCUGCUCUGACCUGGGCAACUGCUGGGCAGCAGGCCUCUCAGUGUCCCCAGCACCCUGGCCUGUCACACGAGCCGGCUCCCCCUGCUCAGCAGCAGACACCUUCAGACCAGAGUGGGGUCACUAAGGAAGGCGUUAUCUUGUCCCAGUUCCCCUCCUGGGCUGCCUGACCCUGCUCUGGACAGCAUAAAAAGUCAGCUCAAUGACGCAGGCAGACUUUAAAGCCUGUUCCGGAUGGCAGCUGGGCUCUGAGCUGUCAAUCAGAGGUGAGCCAGCACACUCGGGCUGCCUGCCAGGGCUCUGCCCAGAGAGGGCAGGGCACCGAAGCUGUGCAGAGCUCCUGCCCAGCUUUCUCUAUUUAUAAUUUCCUCUGAUAAUGGGGCCAUUCAUUCCGGCUGCAGGCCCCUAAUUGCUCUGCAGUAGAGGGAUGACAGCCUGAUCAUUAACUUCACAGAAUCUGAGCUUGGGCUGUGUCAACAGAGUCCAUCUGCUGUCACCAGGGGCGAUCUUUGCCCUUCAUUGUGGCAAAGGGCAGUUAGAAAAAAAAAAAAAAAAAAAAGAAAACCUUGGCUUGGUUCCAGGUCCAGUAGAUUUUUAUUAUUUUCUGGCCUCAAACUAUCUGCAGAGG
rnacentral:lncRNA from 1 species